rnacentral:snoRNA from 1 species
ACCCUCCAGACUCCUUACCACUCGGGUCUAAAGACUGGUCUGAGUGUUUUAACAAAGGAGGAAAAGGACAACCGAAGUGGACUUGGGUUCUUUAGUGAUCUACAAGUUCAUUUAAAAUGCAU